rnacentral:rRNA from 1 species
GCGUGAGUAACCUGCCUUUCAGAGGGGGAGUAACGUUCUGAAAAGAACGCUAAUACCGCAUGAGACUACAGAGCUGCAUGGCUCAGUGGUCAAAGGAGCAAUCCGCUGAAAGAUGGACUCGCGUCCGAUUAGAUAGUAGGCGGGGUAACGGCCCACCUAGUCGACGAUCGGUAGCCGGACUGAGAGGUUGAACGGCCACCAUUGGGACUGAGACACGGCCCAGACUCCUACGGGAGGCAGCAUG